GAAACAUUUUGUCUCAUGCUUUGGCUGACUUGCUCUAUUUUCUAUACAAAUUCUAGAUCGCCAGUUCGGAUCAUGAUCAUUGUGUGUCCUUCUUUGUAACUUCGGAAACAGUUUAAUAAUUGUACAAAGAAGAACCUUGUGUUCUGGAAUAUGGAUUGAAGGUUACAAGUAAGCUCAGCCGGCAGACGACAUUCAUGUAUCAUAGGAAAGCAAUGGUAAUGAUUGGCUCUUUCUGACAAAAAGAUAUAUCAUGCUCCAUGUUUUUACAGGCACAUUGACAUGAAUAUAAUAGUCGUUAGCAUCUCUAUAUCAUGUCCAGUCUUCGUCUUCGUCGUCGUCGUCGUCGUCGCCGCUGUAUCUUUCUGAGCCUCACCUCACAAUUUCAAUGCAAAAUGCAGCCAUCAUCUUGGAAUUCCUUGAGAAUAUCCCUGCCAAAUGCGCCUCCUGGGUGUUCCUGUGCGGUGCCAUGUAGGGGUCGCCCUUUUCAUUAAUUUUUUUGCAACAUGGGCAGCACAUGUAUAUGUCAAUAAUUGCUGAAAACGAAUUGAAUUUAAUAAUAGUGACUCUAACUUGCAUUUCUUACUGCUGCUACAGCUUAAUACAGUGCUAAUGACACGCCUUCUAGUGGUCCGUGGGAGCAAAUUGGAGAAACGGAAGACGGGGGAAAGCAAUGCAUGGCUUCAAACUGGGGGGCGGGUUGGUAAUCGUCGAAUCGCGCGGUUGCAACUAGACUGAAUUAAACAGCAUUGUGCAUCAAAGUGUGACAGAAAUGCACGCGUCGCAUUUGGGCGAAUGUUAAUAUCGAUUUGUUCAUGAUGAAAGCAAGUGAUUACUAUUUACCACCGCGUAUCUGUGUCGCUAAAGAGCAGCAGCUUGAACUGGUUGAGAUGCUUGGGGUGGCGUCUUCUUUCAGUUUUCCUCUAGCCGCAUAUACACAGAGAGGGUGUAACUGUGAGAAACUUCAGCUCCAGGCUAACGGUUGGAAUUGUCCUCUUAUGAUUUUGCUUAAUGUUUACUUCCAUAUCAAACAUGAUGUUAAUGUUAAGUAUACAUGUUGUGUUUGUCUUGUACAGGCCCAGGCCCAUAGUCUAGAGUGAAGUAUGUUGUGUUUGUCUUGUACAGGCCCAGGCCCAUAGUCUAGAGUGAGGCCCAGGCCCAUGUAACCUUGUAUAUCUCUCUCUCCUCCUCAAUACAGAAAAUUGUUCGGUC
rnacentral:lncRNA from 1 species